rnacentral:rRNA from 1 species
AUUGAACGCUGGCGGCAUGCUUUACACAUGCAAGUCGAACGGUAACAGGCCUUCGGGUGCUGACGAGUGGCGAACGGGUGCGUAAUGCAUCGGAACGUGCCCAGAGGUGGGGGAUAACGCAGCGAAAGCUGUGCUAAUACCGCAUGUGAUCUGAGGAUGAAAGCGGGGGACCUGGCAGCAAUGUUUGGCCUCGCGCCUUUGGAGCGGCCGAUGUCAGAUUAGGUAGUUGGUGGGGUAAAGGCCUACCAAGCCGACGAUCUGUAGCUGGUCUGAGAGGACGACCAGCCACACUGGGACUGAGACACGGCCCAGACUCCUACGGGAGGCAGCAGUGGGGAAUUUUGGACAAUGGGCGCAAGCCUGAUCCAGCAAUGCCGCGUGAGGGAAGAAGGCCUUCGGGUUGUAAACCGCUUUUGUACGGAACGAAAAGGCUCUGGCUAAUACCUGGGGCUGAUGACGGUACCGUAAGAAUAAGCACCGGCUAACUACGUG